rnacentral:rRNA from 1 species
GACAGAGGUUGCAAACGUUGUUCGGAAUUACUGGGCAUAAAGCGCACGUAGGCGGUCCGUUAAGUCAUGUGUGAAAUCCCCCGGCUCAACCGGGGAAUUGCGCCUGAUACUGGCGGGCUAGAGGCCGAUAGGGGUGAGCGGAACUCCAGGUGGAGCGGUGAAAUGCGUAGAUAUCUGGAGGAACACCGGUGGCGAAAGCGGCUCACUGGCCCGGUACUGACGCUGAGGUGCGAAAGCGUGGGGAGCAAACAGG